rnacentral:misc_RNA from 1 species
ACUCUCUUUACUGAAAAUGAUUAUAAAGAGCAAGACCAGUAUACCAAAGAGUGUCCACCACACCACAUUCGAAAACCGCCUCCUCACCGGUCGUCGAAAAUCCAUUGGUCUCCGCCUCAUUUUCCAAUCACGCUUAGUCAAAAUUCCAGCUUUAUGUUUGUUUCCGGCGGAAGUUAAAACUUUUCCGGUAAGGUGAAACACAAUUGUGGUUUUUCGGUCCAAAUUUGUCAAUACUAGCACAGAUCAAACGAAAGUCGGAAUCGGGUACCCCAUUCAACUUAGGGCUUUUCUCGAUUUGGAUGCUUAUGGGCUGUUUUUGGUUUUUGUGAGCUAAUUAAAGAAUUUUGAGAGUUGAAGUAGGCAGUGAAGCACAGAAGUUUCUUUCUUUGAGAAACAGUUAUGAUAGUUAUGAACUCAGAGAAGGAGAGGAGGA